rnacentral:misc_RNA from 1 species
GCACUUGAGAGUGUUGAAGGAGCUCUGAAUAGAUUAGAGGAUUUGCUACAAGAGCUACAUCUUUCCAAUUCGAAUCCUGGAAACGAACAUCUAAAAGCUGCCUGUUCCGACCUUGAGAGGAUCAGAAAGCUUAAGAAAGAGGCUGAAUUUCUUGAGGCAUCUUUCAGAGCAAAAACUGCUUUACUAGUAGAAGAGGGAGACGCCGAUGAGCAGUCACAGUCUACUAUUAGCGAGCAGCGGCUGUUUUCAACUAAGAAGGCU